rnacentral:rRNA from 1 species
CAGCCGUAAACUAUGCGCGUUAGGUGUAUCGGUGACCACGAGUUACCGAGGUGCCGAAGGGAAACCGUGAAACGUGCCGCCUGGGAAGUACGGUCGCAAGGCUGAAACUUAAAGGAAUUGGCGGGGGAGCACAACAACGGGUGGAGCCUGCGGUUUAAUUGGACUCAACGCCGGGAAGCUCACCGGAUAGGACAGCAGAAUGAUUGCCGGGCUGAAGACCCUGCAUGACUAGCUGAGAGGAGGUGCAUGGCGUAGACGUCU